ACGAACGCUGGCGGCGUGCCUAAUCCAUGCCAGUUGAGCGCUGAAGGUUGGUACUUGUACCCACUGGAUGAGCAGCGAACGGGUGAGUAACGCGUGGGGAAUCUGCCUUUGAGCGGGGGACAACAUUUGGAAACGAAUGCUAAUACCGCAUAAAAACUUUAAACACAAGUUUUAAGUUUGAAAGAUGCCAUUGCAUCACUCAAAGAUGAUCCCGCGUUGUAUUAGCUAGUUGGUGAGGUAAAGGCUCACCAAGGCGAUGAUACAUAGCCGACCUGAGAGGGUGAGCGGCCACACUGGGACUGAGACACGGCCCAAACGCCUACGGGAGGCAGCAGUAGGGAAUCGUCGGCAAUGGACGAAAGUCUGACCGAGAAACGCCGCGUGAGUGAAGAAGGGUUUCGGAUCGUAAAACUCUGUUGGUAGAGAAGAAAGUUGGUGAGAGUGGAAAGCUCAUCAAGUGACGGUAACUACCCAGAAAGGGACGGCUAACUACGUG
rnacentral:rRNA from 1 species